CUCCCAAAGUGCUGGGUUUAGAGGUGUGAGCCACAGCACCCGGCCUAGUACAAAGAGAUUUUAUGCCAUAUGACCUAGGCCUGGCUGAUGCCCAGGACAGGUGAUGGGGUGAGUUGGUUGGGGGUCAGGGGGGCAGAUCAUGGAUAUAUAAGAAGAGGUCAUAAAGAGUCCAGGAAUAGCAGGGAAUGAGAACAGAUUUCAAUUUUGUGUAUAAUGCAGGGAUCCAGGAUAUAACUUAUCAAAGGGCCAGGAGUCCUUUGGUUUGUAGGGAAUUCCUGUUUCCAGGCAGGUACACAAACCUUCCUGGGGAGACUUCUUAGAGCAUUACUCUUCAAGAACAGAAUGUCCAUUAGCAGAAAAAGACCUCUUGGUAGGAAAACUAUCUUAUUCUCUACAUUAGAGGCAGCUUUUAUUCUAGAAGUAAGGGGAGAUGGCCCUUAUUGACUCCUAGCAGGAAUAUUAUUAUCGCUAUCUAAGCAAGAAGCUAUUUCUAAGGCUGGGUUGAAGGUGGAUUCAACUUAUCUAAUCAUAUUUAACUUGAGAUAUAAAAUCUAAGGCAUGGGGAAUGCUAUGGACUGAAUUGCCUUCCUCCCAAAUCCAUCGGUUGAAGCUCUAAACUCCAAUAUAAUUGUAUCUAGAUAGACCCUCUAGAUAGGGUCUUUAGGAGGUAAUUAAUAUUAAAUGAGUUCAUAAGAGUGGACCCCUAAUCCAAUAAGACUGUGACCUUUUAAAAGAAGGAAGAGCUCUCUCUGCCAUGUGAGGAAACAGCAAGAAGGUGGCUGUCUGCAAGCCAGUAGGAGAGCCCUCAUCAGGAACUGAGUCAGCUAGAACCUUGAUCUUGAACUUCCCCAGCUCCAGAAUUGUGAGAAAUCAAUUUCUGUUGUUUAAGCAUCCAGUUUGUUACAGAAGCCUGAGCAGACCAACACAGGGAGGCACACUAGAAACCAACACAAUUACCCAUAAAACAGCAUGGCCAUCUGUCACAAACUGCCCACUGUAUUCUCAGUUGUAACCUUGAAUCUGUAUUCAUGCUCCUCAUCAUGAAGUUGCUGUAAAAUGAAUGCUAAUGAACUAGGAUCUGCUGUGCACGAACAACUGCCAAAAUGUAGCAACAGGAAAACAUGAACACAGGUACCUAUGAUGGCGGGCCUGCAUGAGAUGCUGGAAGACGUGUAGAACUGAGUGAAAUUUUCUUUGUCCUCAGAGAGGUGAUGGCUCUAUUAAAGUGUCCAGAGAGAACUCAUCUCACACCAAGGGCAUAGGAGCAGCCACACUUAAGAUCAACUGUCCUUAACCACAGCAUCAUGAUACGCUGGAUUACCCAAUCGCUUGUAAGGAAAGACAGAGAUGAAGUUAUCCUGACUGCUGAGAUGAGCAGUUUACCCUAGGAGGACCUGUGGGACUAUGUUUUGGUAAAGAAAAGUUGAGCUGCUCUGUGGGAGUGAGGUUCCAAUGAAGCCAAAUGUACAAGGUGUGUGUUCUAUGGCCUAAAGACCCGUAGAUGGUAUCACAAUGGCAUGAGAAAGGUUCAAAGAUACAUGUUAUUUGGGGGAGCCUGGGGAAUGUGGUGACUGCUAAAGGGUGUGGGGUUUCUUUCUGGGGUGAUAAAAGUGUUGUAAAAUUGGUCGUGGUGAUAGUUACACAGCUCUGUGGAUAAAAAGCAUUGAACUAUACACUUUAAAUGGGAGGACUGUAUGGUAUGCAAAUUAUAUCUUAAUAAAGAAGUUAUCAAAAAAUACAAGUUACUGGCCAUCGGAGUUGGAAGAGGAGAGAAUGGAUCGGCCCAAAUCAACUGCACCAGCUGAAACACAAUUUUAUGUAUUUAUUUAUUUAUUGAGACAGAGUCUUGCUCUGUUGCCCAGGCUGGAGUGC
rnacentral:lncRNA from 1 species